UUGUAAUAUUUUCUCCUCAACCUGGGAGCUUUGAAAUUUGGCUAUGAUAUUUCUGUAAGUUUUCAUCCUGGGAUUUCUUUUGGGUAAUGAGCAGUGGAUUUUUUCUAUUUCUACUUUACCUUCUUAUUCUAAAACUUUGGGGUAAUUCUUUUUCUGAUCAUAACUUUCAGGUAGUCCAACAAUUCUCACCUUGUCUCUCCUCAAUCUGUUCUUUAGUUGUUGUUGCUUUUGUUGUUUUUAAUGGGAAUUGUCACUUUAUUGGCAGAAAACAGCAAUAGGAUGAAAUCUGGGGUUUGUGAGCGCCAGACUUGAAUGCCCUGGAUCAGGCAUUUAAGUCAAAGCACAAAACAAGAUAAAUGUGCUUUCUAGAGCUGAGGACCACCAGACUGAAAUCUGCAAAGAUGAUGAACAGAGGCUGCUUGCUGAUAUUCAGCAUCAUUACAACUCAGCUCAUGCCCUUCAAGGAGGCACUGGAGUGUAUGAUGGGAGAGUAUAAGGUAAAUGGGCAAUGCUGCCCCACCUGCCAUCCAGGUUACAGAGUUCAUGAGACAUGCAGUCUAAUGACAGGCACCACAUGUGUGCCUUGCGAUCCCGGGACCUACACAGCACACCGGAGUGGCCUGAAGGACUGUCUCCAGUGUAAAGUCUGUGACCCUGCAUUUGGCUUGGUGACCAGAAGGGAAUGUUCACCUAUAUCCAACACAGUGUGUGGCUGCUCUCCAGGGUAUUUCUGCACCAACAUGAAAGAUGAUGACUGUGAGAUGUGUGUGGCUCACCGAGUCUGCACUCCUGGCCAAUACGUGAAAUCUAGAGGCACAGAGAGAAACAACACCAUCUGUGAAGAGUGCCAGGCAGGGACAUUUUCCCCCAAUGGGACUCUUGACCAGUGUCUGCCAUGGACCAAUUGUACUACCCAGGGUUCAUUUGAAGAAAAGCCAGGCACCAACACCACAGAUGCAUUGUGCUCACCAAAGAGUAAUCUUCAACUCACACUUAUUGGUAUUCUCUUCAUCAUCAUCAUCGCUGUCAUUGCCUUCAUCGCCUUCAUCAUUUUGGUGGUGACGUUAGUUAGAAAAACAACUGAGAAACAGAUACCAUACAACAGUAAAACAGUUGCCAUUUUCAAAGCACCUACUGGCUGGUGGGGAUGGUGGAAUUCACCACGGACAUAGAGAAGUAGACUGUAAGUGCCAGAUACUUACAAGAUCCUGUUUUGGCAGGAGGGAGGAAGAACACAUCAGAAUGAGAGUUCCUCAAAGGCUGAAGCAUCCCACCCUUGAAAAAUCUGUGACUUCCUUGAGGCCAAUGGGUCAGUCACCAACUUGCCUGUGCAGGAAACCACUUAACAAGAAGAAUCGGCUCCACUACGGGAAAUAACAUCCCAGAGUCAAGACAGUGGGGAACUUGACAAUGCUUUUGGGAGCUUUGUCUUGGAAACACCAAGGCCAAGUCAUACUCUCUGUCACUGAGACAAAGCUUAUAUCCCCAGCAAUAGUAUCCAUUACCUGCUUGCACCUUCUCUUAGCUUUGCAGCCAAAAGCAUUCCAGAUGGCAAGUGAUAUCUAAGGCAGGCCAAAAGUUUCACCAGCAACUUCCAGUUCUGACGUCCUGUCCCAGAGCAGAGCAUGGCAGACAGGGCAAUGAAGCCUGACUUCUGAGAGGUUAGAUGAGCUGUGAGUAUGGGCCUGAAAUGAACAGAGUCUGCUUUCCAAGGACCAGCAUGAAGAAGGUGGCUGGCCACCUGGUGCUUUACAGAAGGUUUAUUUCAUAUUUACUUUGCAUAUAUUUAUUUAUUUAUUAGACUUGUUCAGUUGUUCAAUCAUAUCUGAC